CCCCUGCUCCUCAUGCCUAUUACCCAUCAUCAAUGCUGCCGCCACCUCCACCGCCGCCACCACCUCCACUGCUGUGCCAACCAGCACCACCACAUCCAAAUCCACAUGGGGCAUGUUACCACCCUCCUUAUCCUCCAGGGUUCCGCCCUUGGGAGCCCAAUGGGGUUUAUGACCAUAGUGUGCACAGUAACUGCAGAUCAACAGGCAGACAAAGACCACAAUUUUGGCAAUGGUGAACCGUGGAGAAAUGACUUGGCAGCUUAUUGGAAUGGAAGGUGAGGACCUCUAGGGCAAAAUCAUGUGUAUUGUUUAAGAUUU
rnacentral:misc_RNA from 1 species